CUGGCGAGCCAGUGCUUAAUUGAAAAACGUAAUUAACUUGAAUUUUCUGCUUUUGGCGUUUAUUGCCGCUCAUUUGCAACGGGCCAUCGAAACGGUUAGGGUCGCCGAUGCAGCUGCAGCCUGCGUAUUUAUUUGCACUGCACCGAAGUGCACCGUGGAUGUGAAUGUGGAUGAGGAUGCGGAUGGUCAGCUCCAUGAUGAUGGGAUUGGGAAUUGAGUUUGCGUUGGAUUGGGUUUUUGGGCCAUGCACUGCACUACCCAGACUUGAUGAUGAUAAGGUUCCUGCUGUUUAAGGAUGGCAGACUAUACAGAUUCCAGACCCCAAACCCAUUUCUCCGCCCCUGGCCAUUGCGAAUCAGCUUAAAAUGUUGCUCAAAGAUUUUGUGAGAAUAACCAGAACAACAAUGCAAAAAAUGCGAAGCAAAAUAAACAAGGGAAAAGUUGAUAAAGCAAAGUGGCCAAACCGAAACGGGGUAUCUAAUCGGGUUAGGCCAUGCUAUGAAGAAAAUCGAGAACGCUCCAGCUUUCAAUUAAAAAGAGUUUUUCUAUUUUAAGUUUACAAAUUCGAAUUAUAAUAAAUAAUAUUUUAUGAGAAUCAAA